rnacentral:rRNA from 1 species
UGAGGAAUUUUGCGCAAUGGGGGAAACCCUGACGCAGCAACGCCGCGUGGGUGAUGAAGGCCUUCGGGUCGUAAAGCCCUGUCAAGUGGGAAGAAAUCCUGCAAGGUCAAUACCCUUGUUGGUUGACGGUACCACUGAAGGAAGCACCGGCUAACUCCGUGCCAGCAGCCGCGGUAAUACGGAGGGUGCAAGCGUUAUUCGGAAUCAUUGGGUGUAAAGCGAGUGUAGGCGGCUUGGUAAGUCAGAUGUGAAAGCUCCGGGCUUAACUCGGAAAGUGCAUUUGAAACUGCCAGGCUUGAGUACGGGAGAGGAAGGUGGAAUUCCCAGUGUAGAGGUGAAAUUCGUAGAUAUUGGGAGGAACACCGGUGGCGCAGGCGACCUUCUGGACCGAUACUGACGCUAAGACUCGAAAGCGUGGGGAGCAAACA